rnacentral:lncRNA from 1 species
UCAAUAUCCUCUGACGGAAGCUAGCGGUGAAGGAGGUGUAAUACAAGGCGGAGUUAUUUUUGUUGUUGAUGGGUAGGUUGUUAAAUAGAGAAAAUCCUAAUUACAUAGUAAUUUUACGUGUUUUUUUUUUUUUUUCAAUUUUUAGAUAUCUAAUGGUAAAUAAUGAUGUUGUCAUGUAACAACAAAAAGAAAUUUUUUUUAUAGGAGGUUUUUAGCAUUACGAAUAAGAGGGAUUGGACCGGGUUUGAUGAACAAAGGUUUAACUUCAUGUAACCUCUCAAGUCUUAAUUAUAAUAUCUCGUGAACUUGAUGAGUAUACCCUUUAAGGCAGAGUUAAUUGGGAAAUCUUUGUGAAAAAAUCCUAAUUUUUC